rnacentral:rRNA from 1 species
CCUACGGGUGGCAGCAGUGGGGAAUAUUGGACAAUGGGCGAAAGCCUGAUCCAGCCAUGCCGCGUGUGUGAAGAAGGCCUUCGGGUUGUAAAGCACUUUCAGUGGGGAAGAAAGCCUUGGGGCUAAUACCCUCGAGGAAGGACAUCACCCACAGAAGAAGCACCGGCUAACUCCGUGCCAGCAGCCGCGGUAAUACGGAGGGUGCGAGCGUUAAUCGGAAUUACUGGGCGUAAAGCGCGCGUAGGCGGUCUGAUAAGCCGGUUGUGAAAGCCCCGGGCUCAACCUGGGAACGGCAUCCGGAACUGCCAGGCGAGAGUGCAGGAGAGGAAGGUAGAAUCCCCGGUGUAGCGGUGAAAUGCGUAGAGAUCGGGAGGAAUAACAGUGGCGAAGGCGGCCUUCUGGACUGACACUGACGCUGAGGUGCGAAAGCGUGGGUAGCAAACAGGAUUAGAUACCCGAGUAGUC